UCAGUAGGUGUUCUCUGGAGUGAAUUGCUAAUCAAAUCAGUAACGCUGGGGUAGUUCCCUUAUAAAGCGCUAAUUGGUAAUUUAACCAAUCGAACAAUAAUGAAUCAUGAGGAGUAAGUCAUGCAUCAUAUGUUGCUUAUACAAAGCUUUCUCCACUGAUAACCUAAAUGAUUAGAGUUCAUGCCUAACUUGUGAGGCCCAGAUAUUUAAGUAGACUGUAGAAGUCAUUAUAAUUCUUUGGAAGUUCCAACUUGGAACUACUUAUAUCUUCGUUUCUAUAUUUGAUUUCUUUUCUUAUGAAAACAUAGUUGCGAUAUUUGCAGUUCGGAAACAAUGCACCCUGUUCAAGUACUCUUAGACAUUAAUGCACAGAACAGUUAUGCAACAAGCCUUUUUGUAUAAAGUUCAAAUUAUAUACAUUGCAGAUUGCAAAGGGGGUUAGUUUUAUCUUUUUGUUAAUAUAGACCUGCUUCGGCAUUUUGCAUGGUUAUCCUGUAAUUUAUUUAUUUUUUGAACAAUCACCGGGGGGAGAGGGUCCCCACCUGAGUUAUCCUGUAAUUUAUGGAUCAGUAUUUUCCAUAAAGCUCCCCUUUGGACUAUGGAUUUAUUCUGCUCCUGCUGUGUUGCAUUAGUUUUCCAACAAAAAAGUUCUAAGAUUUAUCAUAUGUUUUCAUGCUGAUAUUUUUUAAGUUGUCGAUAGUCAUACUUCAUAUGCUUUGAUGAGGAAUUCAUUUAGCAAAUGAUCUUUUCAUGUUGAAGUCGAUAUCCUCUGCAACUUAAAAGUAUAUUUGCAUAUGAAUUAUUUGAUGUCACUAUAUGAUCCUUUAGGUCCUUAUCUGAUUUAUUUACAUACCCUCCUCCUUUAGGGCUUGUUCGGUUAAUCCUCUCCCCAAGAGGAUUGGAGGGGAUUGGCAAGGAUUGGCUUGUAUUUUGACUUACAAGAGGUUUAAAUCCCCUUCAAACCCCUUCAAUCCACUCGGAUUCGCACCCAACCGAACAAGGCCUUAGGUGAAUUGGAAGAUGUUUUGACAUGUUAAAAUGGUGCAUCCUGUGCUAGUUGACUGGUCAAUCUUUUCAUUUGUUGGGAGCUGAAAGUUGUAUUUCCAAAUUAACAGAGGGUGAACCGUGGUUCUCAGGUACAACUGCAUACUUUGGUUUACUCAAUGUGGUAAAUGCCCAUGUCUGUUUUAUUCACGAUGAGCAGAUGCAGUAUACAACAUGAGACAACAUUCUUGGCGGCAGCUCGUGGUCCCGUUUUUUCGCAGGUAACACGACAUGAUGGUGUUCUACGGCCCAUUUGGCAUACUUUUUGUCUUCGCUUUCUUGGACGGUUAUUCAUUAGUCCAAUGCUUGACAUCAAUGUGGAUUCAUUUAGGUGUAGAUGUUGUAGGUUGCAGAUACUAAAUUUAGUCUAGGUGUAGAUGUUGCAGGUUGCAGAUACUAAAUUUAGGAUUCAUUUAGUAUCCAAUGCUUUCAUUUUCACACCGGUACUGAAUUAUUCUAUACUAAAUUUAGGAUUUAUUUUUCAGUUACACCAUGUAUUUGUUUUUUCACUUCCUGCCGGUGCUGAACUCUUUUGCUUGGCCAUGAGAAGGGCAGUGGGUGAAAAUGUUGGCUUAGAAAUUUAGAACAUCAUUGAAGUGGUCAGGGGUCUGGUCGUGUUAAGUAAACACUGUACAGAGUCAGUCUGGCACUCCUAUACAUCAAGAAUUAGCUGAACCUUUCAGCAGUAGCACAUUUAUGUAUAUGAAUUUGUGUUCGCAUAUGUUGAUCCUCUUUUAAUAUUGUAGGACCUGCCAAAUUUAGUUGCAAGUAAAGAUGCAGAUUUUUCAUAUGUUGAUGCUGUUUUUUGUUGCUUGGCACAUGUAACAACACAGGGAGUCGGAUGGCUGUCCUAAACAGAGGGUCGGUGUUGCACGAGCUGAAGCUGCGAACACCUUCAUAUCCUGAUCAUCUGAAAAUCUUUCUUAGUUGCUACAGUACUCUAUUUCAUGAGGUUCCAUAUUGAUUGAUAUUCAGCACCAAUCUGCAAAGAACCAAUAGGUGACACAUCCUGAGUCCUUCGCCGUGGCGUGGACAAGACGCCCUGCCAGAGCAGGGUGUGGAUGAGUUGGUGGCUCCGGUCACGCACACCGGCUGGUACUGCUCCGGCGAGCCACCGCUGCCGUUGCCUGUCUCAAUCUCGCUUGGCAUCAACUUUAGGCGAGGGUGCUGAACGCAGAGAAGGGAAGAAAAAAAACUAUGGGCGCUCUUACUAGAGCUGUAAUUAUGCACAUCCGAAAAGAAGCUAAGCUGCAGUGUGUCUGUACUGUGCUACAGACGAGAUUCGUUUGUAUUGCCUGUCAUGCAUUUCUCUUUACUUUUCACAUGAAGUAGCAACAUAAUAUGUUGAUGAAAGA